GCUAAUACCGCAUAACGUCCCAAGACCAAAGAGGGGGACCUUCGGGCCUCUUGCCAUCAGAUGUGCCCAGAUGGGAUUAGCUAGUAGGUGGGGUAAUGGCUCACCUAGGCGACGAUCCCUAGCUGGUCUGAGAGGAUGACCAGCCACACUGGAACUGAGACACGGUCCAGACUCCUACGGGAGGCAGCAGUGGGGAAUAUUGCACAAUGGGCGCAAGCCUGAUGCAACCAUGCCGCGUGUGUGAAGAAGGCCUUCGGCUUG
rnacentral:rRNA from 1 species